rnacentral:tRNA from 1 species
CGGGUGGCGAAAUCUGGUAGACGCAAGGGACUUAAAAUCCCUCGGAGCUAAACUCCGUAUCGGUUCGACUCCGAUCCCG